rnacentral:rRNA from 1 species
GACGAACGCUGGCGGCGUGCCUAAUACAUGCCAGUUGAGCGCUGAAGGUUGGUACUUGUACCAACUGGAUGAGCAGCGAACGGGUGAGUAACGCGUGGGGAAUCUGCCUUUGAGCGGGGGACAACAUUUGGAAACGAAUGCUAAUACCGCAUAAAAACUUUAAACACAAGUUUUAAGUUUGAAAGAUGCAAUUGCAUCACUCAAAGAUGAUCCCGCGUUGUAUUAGCUAGUUGGUGAGGUAAAGGCUCACCAAGGCGAUGAUACAUAGCCGACCUGAGAGGGUGAUCGGCCACAUUGGGACUGAGACGCGGCCCAAACUCCUACGGGAGGCAGCAGUAGGGAAUCUUCGGCAAUGGACGAAAGUCUGACCGAGCAACGCCGCGUGAGUGAAGAAGGUUUUCGGAUCGUAAAACUCUGUUGGUAGAGAAGAACGUUGGUGAGAGUGGAAAGCUCAUCAAGUGACGGUAACUACCCAGAAAGGGACGGCUAACUACGU